GACGAACGCUGGCGGCGUGCUUAACACAUGCAAGUCGAACGGAAAGGCCCCUUUGGGGGUACUCGAGUGGCGAACGGGUGAGUAACACGUGAGUAACCUGCCCUUGACUUCGGGAUAACUUCAGGAAACUGGGGCUAAUACCGGAUAGGAAUCCUUGCUGCAUGGUGGGGGUUGGAAAGCUUCGGCGGUUUUGGAUGGACUCGCGGCUUAUCAGCUUGUUGGUGGGGGAGUGGCUUACCAAGGCUUUGACGGGUAGCCGGCCUGAGGGGGCGACCGGCCACAUUGGGACUGAGAUACGGCCCAGACUCCUACGGGAGGCAGCAGUGGGGAAUAUUGCACAAUGGGCGGAAGCCUGAUGCAGCAACGCCGCGUGCGGGAUGACGGCCUUCGGGUUGUAAACCGCUUUCAGCAGGGGCGAAGCUUGUGGUGACGGUACCUGCAGAAGAAGCACCGGCUAACUACGUG
rnacentral:rRNA from 1 species